rnacentral:rRNA from 1 species
AGUGAACGCUGGCGGUAGGCCUAACACAUGCAAGUCGAACGGCAGCACAGUAAGAGCUUGCUCUUACGGGUGGCGAGUGGCGGACGGGAGAGGAAUACAUCGGAAUCUACUUUUUCGUGGGGGAUAACGUAGGGAAACUUACGCUAAUACCGCAUACGACCUACGGGUGAAAGCAGGGGAUCUUCGGACCUUGCGCGAUUGAAUGAGCCGAUGUCGGAUUAGCUAGUUGGCGGGGUAAAGGCCCACCAAGGCGACGACCCGUAGCUGGUCUGAGAGGAUGAUCAGCCACACUGGAACUGAGACACGGUCCAGACUCCUACGGGAGGCAGCAGUGGGGAAUAUUGGACAAUGGGCGCAAGCCUGAUCCAGCCAUACCGCGUGGGUGAAGAAGGCCUUCGGGUUGUAAAGCCCUUUUGUUGGGAAAGAAAAGCAGCAGGUUAAUACCCCGCUGUUCUGACGGUACCCAAAGAAUAAGCACCGGCUAACUUCGUG